rnacentral:rRNA from 1 species
GGACUACACGGGUAUCUAAUCCCGUUUGCUCCCCUGGCUUUCGCGCCUCAGCGUCAGAAAAGGUCCAGCACGUCGCUUUCGCCACCGGCGUUCCUUCCGAUAUCUACGCAUUUCACCGCUCCACCGGAAGUUCCACAUGCCCCUACCUCCCUCAAGACGGCCAGUAUCGGAAGCUAUUUUCCAGUUGAGCUGAAAGAUUUCACCCCCGACUUGACCACCCGCCUACGCGCCCUUUAAGCCCAGUGAAUCCGAACAACGUUUGCACGGUUCGUCUUACCGCGGCUGCUGGCAC